UACGUAGGGCGCAAGCGUUGUCCGGAAUUAUUGGGCGUAAAGAGCUCGUAGGCGGUUUGUCGCGUCUGCUGUGAAAACCUAAGGCUCAACCUUGGGCUUGCAGUGGGUACGGGCAGACUAGAGUGCGGUAGGGGUGACUGGAAUUCCUGGUGUAGCGGUGGAAUGCGCAGAUAUCAGGAGGAACACCGAGUGGCGAAAGGCAGGUCACUGGGCCGCAACUGACGCUGGAGGAGCGAAAG
rnacentral:rRNA from 1 species